rnacentral:rRNA from 1 species
AGGGAAACCGAGUCUUAACUGGGCGUUAAGUUGCAGGGUAUAGACCCGAAACCCGGUGAUCUAGCCAUGGGCAGGUUGAAGGUUGGGUAACACUAACUGGAGGACCGAACCGACUAAUGUUGAAAAAUUAGCGGAUGACUUGUGGCUGGGGGUGAAAGGCCAAUCAAACCGGGAGAUAGCUGGUUCUCCCCGAAAGCUAUUUAGGUAGCGCCUCGUGAACUCAUCUUCGGGGGUAGAGCACUGUUUCGGCUAGGGGGUCAUCCCGACUUACCAACCCGAUGCAAACUGCGAAUACCGAAGAAUGUUAUCACGGGAGACACACGGCGGGUGCUAACGUCCGUCGUGAAGAGGGAAACAACCCAGACCGCCAGCUAAGGUCCCAAAGUCACAGUUAAGUGGGAAACGAUGUGGGAAGGCUCAGACAGCCAGGAUGUUGGCUUAGAAGCAGCCAUCAUUUAAAGAAAGCGUAAUAGCUCACUGGUCGAGUCGGCCUGCGCGGAAGAUGUAACGGGGCUAAACUGUGCACCGAAGCUGCGGCAGCGACGCUUAUGCGUUGUUGGGUAGGGGAGCGUUCUGUAAGCCUGCGAAGGUGUCCUGUGAGGGAUGCUGGAGGUAUCAGAAGUGCGAAUGCUGACAUAAGUAACGAUAAUGCGGGUGAAAAGCCCGCUCGCCGGAAGACCAAGGGUUCCUGUCCAACGUUAAUCGGGGCAGGGUGAGUCGACCCCUAAGGCGAGGCCGAAAGGCGUAGUCGAUGGGAAACGGGUUAAUAUUCCCGUACUUGGUGUUACUGCGAAGGGGGGACGGAGAAGGCUAUGUUGGCCGGGCGACGGUU